rnacentral:rRNA from 1 species
ACGGGAGGCAGCAGCUAAGAAUAUUCCGCAAUGGACGAAAGUCUGACGGAGCGACGCCGCGUGGAUGAUGAAGGCCGGAAGGUUGUAAAAUCCCUUUAUAACUGAGGAAUAAGUCUGGAGAGAGAAACGCCGGAUGGUGACUGUAGGUUAUGAAUAGGCAACGGCUAAUUACGUGCCAGCAGCCGCGGGAACACGUAAGUUGCGAGCGGUGUUCGGAAUUAUUGGGCGUAAAGGGCAUGUAGGCGGUCUUGCAAGCUUGGUGUGAAAUUCCUGGGCUCAACUCCGGAACUGCGUUGAGUACUGCAUAACUAGAGUCACUGAGGGGCAGUCAGAAUUCCUGGUGUAGGGGUGAAAUCUGUAGAUAUCAGGAAGAAUACCAAUGGCGAAGGCAGGUUACCAGCAGAUGACUGACGCUGAGGUGCGAAGGUGCGGGGAGCAAACAGGAUUAGAUACCCUGGUA